UACAGAGGUCUCAAGCGUUGUUCGGAUUCAUUGGGCGUAAAGGGUGCGUAGGUGGCAUGGUAAGUCGGAUGUGAAAUCCCGGGGCUCAACCCCGGAACUGCAUUCGAUACUGCUGCGCUAGAGUACUGGAGAGGAGAUUGGAAUUUACGGUGUAGCAGUGAAAUGCGUAGAUAUCGUAAGGAAGACCAGUGGCGAAGGCGGGUCUCUGGACAGUUCCUGACGCUGAGGCACGAAGGUCAGGGGAGCAAACGGG
rnacentral:rRNA from 1 species